GGAGUUAUGAAAUGCAAGGGUGCCAAUACCGCCCUUGUUUGACAAAGGCCUCAGAGGAAGCUCCGGCUAAAUCCGUGUCAGCAGCCGCGGUAAGACGGAUGGAGCGAGCGUUGUUCGGAAUCACUGGGCAUAAAGCGCAUGUAGGCGGCGGCGCAAGUCAGGUGUGAAAUCCCACGGCUCACCCGUGGAACUGCAUUUGAUACUGCGUCGCUAGAGUGAAGGAGGGGAGAGUG
rnacentral:rRNA from 1 species